rnacentral:rRNA from 1 species
CCUACGGGGGCUGCAGUGGGGAAUAUUGCGCAAUGGGCGAAAGCCUGACGCAGCGACGCCGCGUGAGGGAUGAAGGUCUUCGGAUCGGAAACCUCUGUCAGCAGGGAAGAACGGUCAUUGUGCUAAUCAGCAGUGAAUUGACGGUACCUGCAAAGGAAGCACCGGCUAACUCCGUGCCAGCAGCCGCCGUAAUACGGAGGGUGCGAGCGUUAAUCGGAAUUACUGGGCGUAAAGCGCACGUAGGCGGUAUGUCAAGUCAAGUGUGAAAUCCCCGCGCUCAACGUGGGAACUGCCUUUGAAACUGGCAAACUAGAGUAUGGGAGAGGAGAGUGGAAUUCCAGGUGUAGGAGUGAAAUCCGUAGAUAUCUGGAGGAACAUCAGUGGCGAAGGCGACUAUCUGGCACAAAACUGACGCUGAGGAGCGAAAGCGUGGGUAGCAAACAGGAUUAGAUACCCCUGUAGUC